rnacentral:rRNA from 1 species
CGGCAUGCCUAACACAUGCAAGUCGAACGGGAUCCAUCUUUCGGGAUGGUGAGAGUGGCGGACGGGUGAGUAACGCGUGGGAACCUGCCCAGUGGUGGGGGAUAACUGCGGGAAACUGCAGCUAAUACCGCAUGAGCCCGAGAGGGGAAAGAUUUAUCGCCAUUGGAGGGGCCCGCGUUCGAUUAGGUAGUUGGUGGGGUAAUGGCCUACCAAGCCGACGAUCGAUAGCUGGUCUGAGAGGAUGAUCAGCCACACUGGGACUGAGAUACGGCCCAGACUCCUACGGGAGGCAGCAGUGGGGAAUAUUGGACAAUGGGGGCAACCCUGAUCCAGCAAUGCCGCGUGAGUGAUGAAGGCCUUCGGGUUGUAAAGCUCUUUUGGCGGGGACGAUGAUGACGGUACCCGCAGAAUAAGCCCCGGCUAACUUCGUGCCAGCAGCCGCGGUAAUACGAAGGGGGCAAGCGUUGUUCGGAAUUACUGGGCGUAAAGGGCGCGUAGGCGGCUUACCAAGUCAGGCGUGAAAUUCCCGGGCUCAACCUGGGGGCUGCGCUUGAUACUGGUGAGCUUGAAUGCGGGAGAGGAUAGUGCAAUUCCCAGUGUAGAGGUGAAAUUCGUAGAUAUUGGGAAGAACACCGGUGGCG